AUUGAACGCUGGCGGAAUGCUUUACACAUGCAAGUCGAGCGGCAGCACGGGGGCAACCCUGGUGGCGAGCGGCGAACGGGUGAGUAAUACAUCGGAACAUGCCCAGUCGUGGGGGAUAACACUUCGAAAGAAGUGCUAAUACCGCAUACGUCCUGAGGGUGAAAGCGGGGGAUCGCAAGACCUCGCGCGAUUGGAGUGGCCGAUGUCAGAUUAGCUAGUUGGUGGGGUAAAGGCCUACCAAGGCAACGAUCUGUAGCUGGUCUGAGAGGAUGAUCAGCCACACUGGGACUGAGACACGGCCCAGACUCCUACGGGAGGCAGCAGUGGGGAAUUUUGGACAAAGGGGGCAACCCUGAUCCAGCCAUUCCGCGUGAGUGAAGAAGGCCUUCGGGAUGUAAAGCUCUUUCGGCAGGAACGAAACGGCGAGCUCUAACAUAGCUUGCUAAUGACGGUACCUGAAGAAGAAGCACCGGCUAACUACGUG
rnacentral:rRNA from 1 species